UUAUUUUGAAAUUGCCCUAUUUUCCAAAAAAAUUGACACUUUUCCAGGCACCGGAUAUUUGUCCUGAUGACUCCCCCGAGGAAGGGCUACAUACCUGCCACGUAUGUAAGAUACACAGAACACAACAGUACGUUAAAUCUCUAGUCUACCAAACAGCGGUACAAAUUGAGCACAAGUUAAUUAACCAAAUAAGAGUUUACAAUAAAAUUAUAACAGGGGAACAAACGUGUUUGGAAUUAAACGGACAGAACUUCGAACACCUCUUCUUCUAAAUCACAGAAAUUCUUCACCAGCAAGCUGUGAAAUAGUGCGUCGCCGUUUGAAACAAAAACAGGAAUUGAAACUUAAUAUUGUACUAUGAAUUAUUUACAGAUUUUUCGAAAAAGUGAUUUGAACUAUUUUGAAACUCGUAGAUGUUCAUAUUUUGCUUUAAGGAUGCACCUUAGAAGACUUAAUUAAUGCACCUAAAAAAUGCGAAUUAUGAGCACAGAACCAACCUCUUUCUGGUUCCGGAUCUUUGGACAACACUUAAUACGGUCAGAACGGUGACGCAAACGGUCCACUUUUUUAUAUUUCUUCAAAGCAACUGCAAAAAAGUAUUAGAUAACCUACUUUUUAAAUUGUUACUUCUUAAGCUUGUACAAACUUGAUAUAUUUGAAGCACAUGAGCACUGGCAGGACUUGCGAGAUCAUCUCAAAAACCAACCCUAGUGUUGAAAGAUAUGGAUUUAUAUCGCGUCAAAGUUGUGACAUUCUGGAGACUUAAAAACCGUAAAUUAUUGCUGUUAAAGAAUUAAGAAAUAUAGAGUUCUUUUUAAGGCCCAAAAUCAACUUUUCCACGAAUUUUUUAGCAGAGUUAAAUAAUUCCUAUAAACCAGUGUUUUUAUUGAAAACAUACAUGUAUAUGAGAACUUGUACACUUUAAUUUGUUAUAUUUUCGUACAUAUUUUCGCACUGUUUAAUUUAACACUGCUAAAAAAAUAUAAGUUGAAAAAGUUGCUGUGUUUUACUUAGUCCCGAAUUUUCCUAUCCGUUAUCAUUAGGUAUAAACCCAAAAACCCAUAAAUGUCUGAAUAUUUAAGUUUCUUCGAAUGUAAUAAAUCCAUAAUGAGUAAAUA
rnacentral:lncRNA from 1 species